rnacentral:lncRNA from 10 species
AUUCUAAGCUAAUUUAGUUGGUGUAAUGUGGUCCCUCAAGGGUAGUUGCAGGUGCAUUCACUUGACCUCUACGAAGGAUGAACAUUUCCCAUGAGUUUUCCACUUGUGUUUCAUCCUUGCCUUUGCUUCAGUUUCCUGUGAGACAAAUUGGAGUUUGACAUCCCUCCUCAAGAUGCCUCCUCCAAGACCAGAGUUCCCUGUGGCUGAGCUGUGUGUGCAGAGAGCACCUUUCUCUCUCCUUGGGAAGCCCUUUGAAUGUAGAAACUCUGCAUUCCUCAUUCCUGUGCCCUCCCUCUCCCCAGUGGCUAGGACUUAACACCAAAGGGUGCUCAGGAAACAAAUGGAAGCAGGGCACUAACCAACUCCAGGAGGACUGGGAGCAUGUUUCCCGCUGAAUCCCUGCCAUCUUGACCACUGCCUGGCAAGAGAAGACACUCUACCAACAUUUUUUUAGUGCUGCAUCCCUUGGAGGGCAUGAGGCAAGGCCACGUGAGACACAGUCGGUGCUAGAUUCCUGGAGGCAGAGCUGAGGGUA